UGGAAAUGUUUAACAAAGCAACCCCCCCCCCCCUAAGUAACUAAAUGCUACCCAUCUUAAGUACUGUGAAGGAAAUAAGUCCCUACAAAAAGAAAAUUUCUACCUUUUGUAUCAGGGGGUUAUAAAAUAAAGUUUAAAACGUAUCCCGAAAUAAAGAGAGCUAUGUCUAUUUUCUACCUUUGUAUCAAAAAAGCUUUUAAGAUGGCAUUGAAGAGAAAUUCUAUCCGAUCUUUAUAUAACUGGUUGAUCUGGAGAGUAAUUUAAUUACACCUUUUCUACCUUAAGAGAAAGGUUACAGAAAGAUUAGGAUCACUAUUCUUUAUUUUCAAAUUAUUAGUUAUCCCCAAGAGGUUUAAUACCCCUUCUUGAUGCACCAACUCAAAUUUAUGUACCUACAGAUCAUUUUCUAACAAAGCAAAUAACCUACAAUAUGGCCAUAAGUAAGUAUACCCACUUUGUUGUACUCAAGAAUACAGUAAAGACUUCAAACUACGGAGAAGGAACUCGACAAAAAAAUCUUUCGACUGUUUAACAAAAACUUCUCCUUAACAGUUUAAGGUAUAGCCUGCCCAGUGAAAAUCAACGGCCGCAGUAUCCUGACUGUGCUAAGGUAGCAUAAUCAUUUGUCUUUUAAAUGGAGUCUAGAAUGAAAGGCUGAACGAAAAGAUAAUUGUCUCCUCCGCACCCACAUAACUUCACAUUCUAGUAAAAAGGCUGGAAUUCAUUAGAGGGACGAUAAGACCCUACAAAGCUUUACCCCCAUAUUUUAACCAAACCUCCAGAGAAUACGGCAAAAUACAGGGGAUUUGCUGGGAUGGCUUAUAUUAAUUAUAAACAAUCUAUAAUGGAACUUCUUGAGAGGAGCUUACUAUCUUGGUUUAGAGAUAAAACUAGCUACUUUAGGGAUAACAGCGUAAUCCUCCUUUAAAGACCUAAUUGGAAGGAGGGAUUGCGACCUCGAUGUUGAAUUGAAAUUACUUUGCUUUGCAGCAGAAGCAUUAGUGAGUCUGUUCGACUUUUAAAAUUUCACAUGAUUUGAGUUCAGACCGGUGUAAGCCAGGUUGGUUUCUAUCUUCUAAAAAUCUAUUUUAGAGAUUGUACGAAAGGACCUCUUUAAAUUAAAUAUUAAAUCGAGAGACUACUUGUGUUCUUAAAUAUAUA
rnacentral:rRNA from 1 species